rnacentral:rRNA from 1 species
AGUGAACGCUGGCGGUAGGCCUAACACAUGCAAGUCGAACGGCAGCACAGUAAGAGCUUGCUCUUACGGGUGGCGAGUGGCGGACGGGUGAGGAAUACAUCGGAAUCUACUUUUUCGUGGGGGAUAACGUAGGGAAACUUACGCUAAUACCGCAUACGACCUACGGGUGAAAGCAGGGGAUCUUCGGACCUUGCGCGAUUGAAUGAGCCGAUGUCGGAUUAGCUAGUUGGCGGGGUAAAGGCCCACCAAGGCGACGAUCCGUAGCUGGUCUGAGAGGAUGAUCGGCCGCACUGGAACUGAGAGAAGGUCAAGACUCCUACGGGAGGCCGCAGCGGGGAAGAUUGGACAAGGGGCGCAAGCGUGAUCCAGCCAUAGGGGGUGGGGUAAGAAGGCCUUCGGAUCGUAAAGCCCUUUUGUGGGGAAAAAAAAACAGCAGGUGAAUACCCCGCUGUUCUGACGGUACCCAAAGAAUAAGCACCGGCGAACUUCGUG